AUUGAACGCUGGCGGCAGGCCUAACACAUGCAAGUCGAACGAGUGGCGGACGGGUGAGUAAUGUCUGGGAAACUGCCUGAUGGAGGGGGAUAACUACUGGAAACGGUAGCUAAUACCGCAUACCAUCAGAUGUGCCCAGAUGGGAUUAGCUUGUUGGUGGGGUAACGGCUCACCAAGGCGACGAUCCCUAGCUGGUCUGAGAGGAUGACCAGCCAAACUGGAACGAGGACACGGUCCAGAGCCCUACGGGAGGCAGCGGGGGGGAAUAUUGCACAAUGGGGGCAAGCCUGAUGCAGCCAUGCCGCGUGUAUGAAGAGGGCCUUCGGGUUGUAAAGUACUUUCAGCGGGGAGGCGUUACCCGCAGAAGAAGCACCGGCUAACUCCGUGCCAGCAGCCGCGGUAUAC
rnacentral:rRNA from 1 species